CAAGUGUGAAGGAGUGGUUUUACUCAAGCAGUGGGAACAAGGAAACACUUGGUUAGGUAAAACCAGAAA
rnacentral:ncRNA from 1 species